rnacentral:rRNA from 1 species
GUGUCAGCAGCCGCGGUAAUACGAAGGGUGCAAGCGUUACUCGGAAUUACUGGGCGUAAAGCGUGCGUAGGUGGUUGUUUAAGUCUGCUGUGAAAGCCCUGGGCUCAACCUGGGAAUUGCAGUGGAUACUGGGCAACUAGAGUGUGGUAGAGGAUAGUGGAAUUUCCGGUGUAGCAGUGAAAUGCGUAGAGAUCGGAAGGAACAUCUGUGGCGAAGGCGACUAUCUGGGCCAACACUGACACUGAGGCACGAAAGCGUGGGGAGCAAACAGGAUUAGAUACCCUGGUAGUCCACGCCCUAAACGAUGCGAACUGGAUGUUGGGCACAACUUGGUGCCCAGUAUCGAAGCUAACGCGUUAAGUUCGCCGCCUGGGGAGUACGGUCGCAAGACUGAA